UAUCAACACAAUUUGAGAAAAUUUUUAAUCACUGCAAAAACAAAAACCCCUCUAUAACCUUUAGCUAUUGCUUUUCUUUGAAUGUGGUGUCCCUCAAAAAGGUAUUAAUAUGUUGAAACUUAAUACUCAUUAAGGUGGUAAUAAGAGGAGGGCCUUUUGGGAAGUGAUUAACUCGUGAGGACUCCGCCCUUAUGAAUAGAUUAAUACCUGUAUAAAAGAGGCUUCAGAGAGAGUUUGCCCCUCUUGCCUUCCACCUGCCGCUAUAUGAGGACACAGCAGCAAGGUGCCAUCUUGGAAGCAGAAAACAGCCCUCGCCAGACACCAACAUUGGUGGCUUCAGAAGUGAAUAGUCACACUGUUUUCCAAAGUGACUGCACCAUUUCAUAUUUCUACUAGCAACACCAUCAUCUUCCUUUUACAGAAGAAGAAACUCAUAUCGCGGAAAAGUGAGGAUGAAAUCCUCUGACCACCCUACCUUUAAAGGUCCUUUAAAGGGAAAGAACUGACAGUGUAAGUGGAAAGAGAGCAAUUGGAAGUAGCAGGAGAGGGAAAAGCCAUUAUCAUACAACUGGUGGGAAGAAGGAAUGCCAAAAACAUCAGUGUGAAAAUAAUUGCAACAAAAAGUCCACUGGCCAGAAAGAGUCAUAUGGCUUCGACUGACUUGCAAGGCAGUGGUGAAGUGGGUGAGCGCAUGCAUAUUCAAUGAGCAAUCAGUGUCUUGGCCUCAAGGGCAAGGCUCAGAUAAAUUAAUUUACUUUUAAUUCAAUUUUUUAGGAAAACAGGUGAUGAGCACUGAAAUGAUAAGCAGAUGAUUGUCGAUCUUACUAACCCAGAUAGUUGUUUUCAGGAAAAUUUUAAAUGGGAAAAUGUUUCAGCUACUUGUAUUUUGUUUUGUUUUGUUUGUUUUUUAGCCAGAACGGCAAAGGAAAAACUGAGAACCACCCUGCAUGACCAUACAUCUCACAUUUACAUAGCAAUUUAAACAGUUAUUUUUGAAAACAAGAUGACAUGAGGUGUGAUUAUCACGUAAGUAAUGAAACUGACUUAUCCCAAAAACAUAUAGACAGCAUGGAUUUUCAUAAGGAAAGUGGUCCUUUUCAGAGGCUGAGAACUCUGGUCAAAGAAGUUCCUCCAAGUAGUUAGCAUCUAUGAUAAGUGCUGUCACUCCUGGAUCUGCGUAUUAAUUGUAGCAAAUUUGGGACGGUGUCUUAGCUCAGGCUGCUGUAGCCAAAUGCCACAGACUGGGUGACUUAAACAACACUUAUUUUUUCACAGUUCUGGAGGCUGGAAGUCCAUGAUCAGGGUGCUGGAAGUCCAUGAUCUGGGAGCCAGCAUGAUCAGGUUCUGGUGAGGGCUCCCUUCUUGGUUUGUAGAUGGCUGCCAUCGUGCUGUGUAUUCACAUGACCCCUUCUUUGUGUGUGCAUGGAGACAGAGAACAAAUAAGCUCUCUGGUGUCUCUUCUUGCAAAGGCGCUAAUCCCAUCAUAAGGAUUCCACCCUCAUGACCUCAUCUAAGCUUAAUUACCUCUCAGAAGUCCCAUCUCCAAAUAUCACAUUGGGGGUUAGGGCUUCAACAUAAGAAUCAUGAAUUUGGGGUGGGGAGAGGACACAGUUGAGUCCAUAGCAGGUGGGAAACAUGGACUUAAGGAUCAGAAUUGCCUCUUGCUAGCAAAACUUUCCCAAGAGCAAGUAAGUUCACUUCUGUGAGCAGACAGAGGCUCCUGAAGUAACACAGGUGAAAGGUAAGUGGUCCUGAAUUGGGAUGAUGACAGCAAAAGAGGAGAUGGGUUUGAGACGGAAUAUUCAUGGUUUGCAGACAAAGUGAAAAACAUUUAGCAUGACCACCCAGGUUGGAAGCCUGGUGCCUGGGAGAAGGUUGGUGCCUGGCUGGAAAGCCAGGAGAAAGAAGCAGUUUGGGCAGAAAGAGGAAAAGGACUUUGGCAACAUGCCCACCUUGGGAUCAUCUUGAGUUUGUGCGGGAAUGUUCUAAUGUAAGGGAAAUAUAAAAAUGCCACGUAUAAGGAAGACUGCGGCCAGGUGUGAUAAUUUACGCUUGUAAUCCCAACACUUUGGGAGGCCGA